rnacentral:rRNA from 1 species
UACGGGGGGGGCAAGCGUUGUUCGGAAUUACUGGGCGUAAAGGGCUCGUAGGCGGCCAACUAAGUCAGACGUGAAAUCCCCAGGCUCAACCUGGGAACUGCGUCUGAUACUGGAUGGCUUGAAUUCGGGAGAGGGAUGCAGAAUUCCAGGUGUAGCGGUGAAAUGCGUAGAUAUUGGGAAGAACACCAGUGGCGAAGGCGGCUAACUGGUCCGGUACUGACGCUGAGGUGCGAAAGCGUGGGGAGCAAACAGG